GACGAACGCUGGCGGCGUGCUUAACACAUGCAAGUCGAACGGUGAAGCGCCUUCCUUUUUGGUGGGUGUGGAUGAGUGGCGAACGGGUGAGUAACACGUUAGUAACCUUCCCCCUUCUUCUGGAUAACCGCAUGAAAGUGUGGCUAAUACGGGAUAUUCUGGGUCUGUCGCAUGAUGGGUCUGGGAAAGAUAUUGUUUCGGUGGGGGAUGGGCUCGCGGCCUAUCAGCUUGUUGGUGGGGUGAUGGCCUACCAAGGCGGUGACGGGUAGCCGGCCUGAGAGGGUGGACGGUCCCACUGGGACUGAGACACGGACAAGACUCCGACGGGAGGCAGCAGUGGAGAAUAUUGCACAAUGGGCGGAAGCCUGAUGCAGCGACGCCGCGUGAGGGAUGGAGGCCGUCGGGUUGUGAACCUCUUUCGCCAGUGAAGCAGGCCUGCCUCGUUUGUGGGUGGGUUGACGGUAGCUGGAUAAGAAGCGCCGGCUAACUACGUG
rnacentral:rRNA from 1 species